GCCUGGGUGGCUCAGUCAGUUAAGCAUCUGGCUUCAACUCAGAUCAUGAUCCCAGAGUCCUGAGAUCAAGCCUCAGGCCAGGUU
rnacentral:tRNA from 1 species